UGGCCGUGUGUCUCUGCUUGCGGCAGAGUUU
rnacentral:sRNA from 1 species